rnacentral:tRNA from 1 species
GCGCCCGUAGCUUAAUGGAUAGAGCAGCGGAUUGCGGAUCCGCAGGUUGAAGGUUCGACCCCUUUCGGGCGCG